rnacentral:rRNA from 1 species
AUAGCGUAUAUUAAAGUUGUUGCAGUUAAAAAGCUCGUAGUUGAACUUCGAACCUGGUUGAGUGGUCUGCCUUCACGGUACGUACUGCUUGGCUGGGCUCUACCUCUUGGUGAGCCGGCAUGUCCUUUACUGGGUGUGUCGGGGAACCAGGACUUUUACCUUGAGAAAAUUAGAGUGUUCAAAGCAGGCUUAUGCUCGAAUACAUUAGCAUGGAAUAAUAAAAUAGGACGUGCGGUUCUAUUUUGUUGGUUUCUAGAGUCGCCGUAAUGAUUAAUAGGGAUAGUUGGGGGCAUUAGUAUUCAGUUGCUAGAGGUGAAAUUCUUGGAUUUACGGAAGACUAACUACUG